rnacentral:rRNA from 1 species
GCCGGCGGCACUAGCGCGGUGGUCCCACCUGACCCCAUGCCGAACUCAGAAGUGAAACGCCGUAGCGCCGAUGGUAGUGUGGGGUCUCCCCAUGUGAGUAGGGAACUGCGGGCA